AUGGCGGGCUUCCCUCUAGGCACAGGAGGAAGCGGCCGCGACAGCUCCGCGUCGCCGCCCGGCGUGCACCCGUCCGACGCGUCCACCUUCCUCUACGCCACGCGCGGGGGCGGCUUCCAGCUAUGGGGCCAGCCGCAGGACCAGCAGCAGCUCACGCACCCCUUCUACGCCCCCAACCUCAUCCGCUUCGCCACCGAUGACCUCCCCGCAGGCGCCGCGCAGUCGCUCGCCGGCGCGGCCUCCUCCUCCUCCUCACGCGGGGCGCGCGCUGCCGCCCUGGCCGGCACCGGCGGCGGCACCAGCUGCCAGGACUGCGGCAACCAGGCCAAGAAGGACUGCCAGCACCAGCGCUGCCGCACCUGCUGCAAGUCCCGGGGCUUCGCCUGCUCCACCCACGUCAAGUCCACCUGGGUUCCCGCCUCCAAGCGCCGCGAGCGCCAGCAGCAGCUCACCGCGCUCGCCGCCUCCGCCGCCGCGACCACGGGCGGGGCUGGCCCCUCACGCGACCUCACCAAGCGCCCCCGCGCUCGCCUCGCGGCCACCACGCCCACCACCUCCUCAGGGGAUCAGCAGAUGGUGACGGUGGCGGAGAGGUUCCCGCGGGAGGUGAGCUCGGAGGCGGUGUUCCGAUGCGUGCGUCUCGGGCCGGUGGACCAGGCCGAGGCGGAGCUCGCGUACCAGACCACCGUCAGCAUCGGCGGCCACGUGUUCAAGGGAAUCCUCCACGACGUCGGCCCCAGCAACGCCCACGCCCAGCUGCAAGCUGCCGCAGGAGGCAGCGGCGGCGGAGGCGGCGACUACCAGUUCCGCCUGACCGGCGACGUGUCCCCGCCGAGCACGGGCGCGGAAGCGGGCGACGCAGGCGGCGGCAACAACCACAACAUCGUCGUGUCAUCGGCUGUGGUGAUGGAUCCGUACCCGACGCCCGGGCUCUACGGCUCGUUCCCGGCCACCACGCCCUUCUUCCACGGCCACCCCUACCAGAGACAGUGA
rnacentral:rRNA from 1 species